rnacentral:lncRNA from 1 species
GUGUGAAAAACAUCAGUGAUAGGUGAACAGAUGACACUAAUGAGUUGGGAGUUAUUUUAAUAUAAAGUUGAUUAGCUUCACUUAAUUUUUUUAAUCCUUUAUAAAUCAUCACAAUAUAAUGAGAAUUAUGAAGUGUACAUGCUCCUUUAACACUGAGUUAUGUGUGCUGUGAAAAUAUUGAUUGACUUUAAAUUUUUUCAGGUUCAUAUUGGUUUAUGUUCGCUUUUCUCAAACAAUAGGUUGUUAGUCAUACCCUACAAAAUCAUUGAUGCAUUACGUAAACAACACAUGGCUAAUCUGUAAUCAAACAGUGAACAAAACAACAGGAAUAAAUACAUCUUUAUUAUUAAACAGCUAUAUAAAUUAUCAUAAUCAACAUCAACUAAAUUCAAACCAAACAAACAUUCAUGCAGAAAAUGAAUAUAAUUCCUGGAUUUGCAUUGGUUUUACCGGCGUUCAGUAACUGUCAGCUGCAAACAAAAAUGUCCAAAUUUUGUCCGACUUAUACGAGGGUCAAGACUAAAUCCUCAGAAUUUGGAGCUGAAAAGGGCAUCCGACUUAUAGUCGGAUCGACUUAUAAGCGAGUAGCUACGGUAACUAAAAAGUAAUAUUUUU